CUGCUUCUGUAAAGAUCACAGCCUUGGAAACUCUAUUGGGCAGUUCUCUCUGUCCUCUAGGGUCGCUAUGAAGAGCAAUAGACUCCGUGGCAGUGGGUUUGGUUUUUUUGGUGUAACGUCCGUCAGCAUGAGUUCUGGUUCACAAGUUUAGGCCAUCUGUUGAAGCUCUUGAGUAGAGCAAAGUUCUGUACUGAAUACUGACAUUUCAGUGUUGUAUUUUCCUUAUUAAGGGUGGGAAGGGAACCCUAUUUUGUGUUAUUUUAUUUUGCCGUCAACCAUCAAUAAAAUGUUAUCUGUGGAAUGUUGUUUUGAACAUCCUUGUAAAGGAUUUGCAAGUUAAAUCAAUCCAUUUCCUGUCUUUGGAGUCUGGAGUCGGGAACAAUGGGGUCCAAAGUACAGAUGGUGAUACCUAUUUUAUGUUAGCUAGCUAGAGUGAAAUAUCAAGUAAUCUCCUUGAAUGAAUCCCAUUUUUUCAUUCACUCAACUUCUGAUUUCAAAGGCAGAGAUUGCGCUUACAAGACUGAAGACUACAGCUGUUUGGUUAGUGAGCAAGUGGAACCGAGGCAGCGGGCAGUGCUGGCCUCUGCCGGUCUGUGGGCAGGUGGAUUAUGGCCAAGAGGAAAGAUGAUAUUUGGCUAAGAUGCUUCUUUUAAUUGCCUCUCACUGAAGUGACACCUCCCGGUCUGCUUCAGAAAUUCUCUUCAGGAUUUAAAAAUGAAGCUGAUUCAUAUUCAGAGUCUUUCUGCUAAAAUCUGUUCAGCCAAAAUAAAAAUGACUGCUUUUUAAAAUUUUCCCUCCCCUCUCUGUUGUUGCUCCUUGCAAACAUUGUCUCACUUCUUACAGGAGCUGAGAGAUUUCAUUUAUGCACAAUUAAAAGUCAGUCUUCUCGGUACAAAUGGAGAGAGAGAAACAGUUCCUGAGCUACCAACAGAAGUCGUGAGGAUUAAAGUGUAUCUGCCUCAAUCAGAUAAAUGUGACCUGCUCUCUUGAGCUGGAGAGAUUUUUUUUUUUUAACUGAAUGGUUCCAGUUAGUUGGCUUUAAUCCCUGAGCAAUAGAGCUUCUUUAAAACCAUCUUUAUUCAUCCACAUCAAUUGACACUUAAAAAAAUCCCCCAGUUAACCAUUCAUCUGAGUUUGAAUGUAUCCAUCAGAGUCAAAUGCAUUUAAGAGGAUUUGCAAUCUCUGAUUAUCCAAAAUGCCAUUUAUUGUCAGUAUUUUUGGUAUGCCACAGCCAACUUUGUUACUCUAAUGCACAUAGCCACUUAGCCGCAGCACCGCCUAAAAUAUAUCACAGCAAUUAAGGUAACUGAAGGAGGGCUUUUCUCCAGCUUCGUGCUGGCACCGCUUGUUGUGUGGUUAUGAACAUCAGAAAGAAUUCCUUAAUGCGCUCUCGCUCUCCUUCCAGACCCUUUUGGGCAGUCUCGCCCUCCAUGUUCUCUAAGUAGAGAGCAGUUACCAGGACAACAGAGAAUUGGAGGAAGAUUUAAUUGUGGUCUGAUGUCUAACCAGAGUAAAGAGCAAGUGCCUUUGAAUUUACAUUCUGGGCUCCCAAGCAAAUGUCAAUAUGCAUAUUUAUUAUUUUUGCCUUACCUCAUUACAAAAAGGAUUUAAGGUGGCUUGCAAAGAAGUAUACAGUUUUUUUUUCUUAAUGUGGGCAAGGAGAAGAGGGAUGGUAAAUACUGAAAGGAUAGGAAAAAUAAGCAGCAGCUUGGGAUCCAGAGAACAUGCCAUAAACACCGUAGUUAUCCUGCUUAUUUUUCUAGAGCUGACCCCAGUUUGACUGACCUUCCUAGCAGCCAGUGCAACGAUGAGAACACCACAUACGUGAGGCCCAGUAUCCAUCAGGAAGAGCGCAAUUAGUCCUUCUGACGCUGGUUUCCCGCUGGGUCCAGCGUGUCCGUUGUUAAACUCAGAUGAGUUGCACGUCCUUGGGGACACAUGCUGUAGGACAAACACGGUACAUCUUCCUAAAGUGCUUCCUUCAGACUCGAUGAUAAGAAAUUGAAGAAGUUAUUUUUCAGUGAACUUUUUAUUUUGGAAUAAUUUGUAGCCUAUGAAAUGGCUGAACCACAAUAGAAGUCCAUGGGGAAGAACAUUUUCAUUUUUUUCUCUUGCCUUAUUCUUGGUCCACAAAUGUUUCAAACAAAUUUUCUCAAGUAGAUGUCUGUCUCUUGUAUAGUUUUUGCCUUCCUUUCUGCCCUUUUUCUAUUACGUGUAUGCCUCCCUUCAGGCCUCCUAAGCUCUCCCUAUAUCCUAAAUUCCCCAUUUUUGCACCCCUUAACCAGGCCUGCCCUGUGCCCCAAGUGCUGUGUGUUCCCGUUUCCAGUCCCAUCCCUCAUCUCCAUCCAAAGAUAGGAAUCAGUGGAGUUUUCUCUGGCAGGAGUUAAAAAAUAGUAUGACCAAAUUAAUUCACAAUAAUUGUAAAUUAUUGACAACACAACCGUUGCAAACAUUUUCGUUUUAAAAAAGGAUGUUUAAUCUCCAAUAAUGUAUUAAUUGUCAGAUAAUCUUGAGGGAGAAGAAUAAAAUGAGGGGGAAAAUCCAUAUUUAAUGAGGAAUGCAAGAUAAUUCUCACCAAGCUGAAGACAUAUAACCCUUGCCUGAAUUAUGCCCACGCCUUUCUUCCCGAUUCCCCAAACUGUGGCUUUUCACCGAUUCCUCCCUCCCUCUACAUUGUUUAUGAAAGUCUCUUUUUUUAAGGGUAGUGCAUACUGGACAUUUGCUAUUCUUUUGACCACCCAGCAUAUGAGCCACCUUUCUACAUUCAUGGAAUUAUUUGCCUUAAGAGUCUUGAUGAAACGAGGAGGUAACCACCUAUUUUAAAAGCUGAAAAUGUCAAAUAUUUGCUCUUCCCUGACAGUUGCUGUCGGGAUGAGGCUCCACCCCGGCCAGGCCAGUCAGCCAGAGACAGAGAUGGUACUGAUGUUUCUUUAUGGCAGCAGGCAGCUGGAGUUGCUCCAAGAUCAAGUUCCUGAUGCAGAGAUGGAGGUGGCCCAAAGAUUAGCAUCUAAUGCUUGAUGGGAUAGCUGUUAUUUUCUUACCAGACACAGACUCUGGGAUGUGAUUUGGAAGCUUGCUUCUGUCUGCUCAAGCCCAAGCCUUGUUUUUCGCCCUCUCUAUAAUUCAGUGAGCUACUCAAUACAUUUUGAUUAAAUCCCCUAUCUGCUUAAAACAGCCAGACUUGGUUUCAAUUGCUUAGAAUUAAGAACCUGGGCUGAUAAACUUUUUUUCAAACAACCAAAUAUAUUCAAUUUAUAAAAUACAGACAGGAAAAAUGAAAAAAAAAAUUCACUCUGAACCUAGAGGUAACUAUUAUUAAUGUGCAUCUUUUCCAAUACUAUUGUAUGCAUCCAUUUCAAGGGAGACCAUCUUGUAGGAGAAUAACUGGACAGGAUUUUUGAGGCCACUUCCCUCUUUAUGCAGUGAACCCAAUAAAUGGGUUUCCUAGUCUUGUUUUAAGAAUGCUUAAUUCACUCUUAACUUACUUAAUUCAUAUGUAGAGUGAGAAGAGAAGAAUGAGGAGGUUGCUUUUAACCCUGAGCUAAUUUAAGAAUCCUCUACAAGAGGAUGUUAACCUUUAUUAUAUGUUACAAAAUCCCUCCCU